GGGGAUUUAGCUCAGUGGGUAGAGCACUUGCCUAGCAAGCGCAAGGCCCUGGGUUCGGUCCCCAGCUCCG
rnacentral:tRNA from 1 species